rnacentral:lncRNA from 1 species
AACUCGAUUUCAUAAAACAGUCAAGAAUAAUCACACCCACUUCAUUAAAAUCUCGAUUCACCAGUACAACACUGACUUCAGCAACGGUUGCCUCAGUCUUCUUAAAACCCUAUGAAGAAAAAAAAUCCCAAUUCUCUGUCUUUUUUUCCCUUCCCAUAGCAUGAAGCUAGCUCCCCGAUCCUUCUAAAAAAACUUAUUCUCCUUCUCCUUCUAUUUUUU